rnacentral:tRNA from 1 species
AGGGAAAUAGGUUAAUUAAAACUAACGGGUUCAUGUCCCGUAAUUACAUUUAUGUUUUUCCAG